GAGGCGCUGGCGCGUGUGCUUAUGCACAGUGCGUAGUGAGGAAAGCGAAAGGCACGCAAGUGAGAGUAGAGUGGGCGCAGGGUGUGAGUACACACGUGGUAUAAUCUGCCUCGAGAGUGGGGGAUACUCGUUCCGAAAGGAGCGCUAUAUACGGAUAUAACACGGUAGGGACCUUGGUGCCAGCCGGCAAAGAUGGCUCUCUGCUUGCAAGCUAUCGCUUGAGGAGGAGCCGCGCGCCCCCAUUAGGUAGUUGGUGAGGUAAUGGCUCACCAAGCCUGCGAUGGGUAGCCGUCCUGAGAGGGUGGCCGGCACACACUGGCUGUGAGACACGGGCCAGUCUCCUACGGAGAGGCAGCAGUGAGGAUAUCUUGGCCAAUGGGGGAAAGCCUGACCCAGCGACGCGCGCGUGGGUGAUGAAGCCCUUCGGGUCGUAAAACCCUGUGAGUGGGGAAGAACCCGUUGCGCGCUAAUCAUCAGCGCGGUGACAGUAUAGGCAGAGGAACACCCGGCCACUUACGUGCCAGCAGCCGCGGUAAUACGUAGGGGCAAAGCGUUGUUGGGAAUUUUUGGGGGUAAAGGGGGUGUAGGGGGGAUGGUAAUUAGGAAGUGAAACCCCUCGGCUCAACCGGGAAACUCCUUUGGAAACUCCCUGGCUUGAAUGCGGGAGGGGAGAGCGGAUUUCCCGGUGUAGCGGUGAAAUGGGUAGAUAUCGGGAGGAACCCCGGUGGGGAAGGGGGCUUUUGGCACCGUGAUUGACGUUGAGACGGAAAAGCGUGGGUAGCAACCAGGAUUAGAUCCCUGGGUAGUCCACCCCUAAAACGAUGGGUACUGGGGUAGGGGAGUUUAACUCUUUCCGUGCCGGAGCUAACGCAUUAAGUACCCCGCCUGGGGAGUACGGUCGCAAGGUUGAAACUCAAAGGAAUUGACGG
rnacentral:rRNA from 1 species